GAGGCGGGGUCAGAGGGCUAAGGGUGACUGACUGCCCAGUGCAUGGAUCUCAGCAGCACGGCUUGACUUUCGGGCGGCAGGCAAGGAUGCUAAUCCACAAGGUUCCUGAGUCCAACAUCCCUCCCUCCAAUGUGGGGCUCGAAUCCGCUAUUGCAACCAAACCCGGGUUCUGCCCGCAGGGUGGCGCAAUGACAAGAGCCACCAGGUGACCCUGGUAACUCCCGCACCUAGACCUACAGGAGCAGUUUUUCUGCAGCACCACAUCUGUAGCCCUGCAUGCCGCUGGCUCCAGUGUUGUGUGUGUGGUCAUGCUCCAUCCAGCCCAGCAGCAACUUUGGUGUUUGACACCCCUCGGGAGGCACCGCUUUGGAAGAGACUGGUGUGUGCGGAGCCCAAGAUGUGUUGGGAACAGCUAUCGUUUCUACUGCUUUGUCCCAUGCCUCUGGAGCUCCUGGGUUCCUGAACUUCAAGCUGGGCCCCAUCCUUCACCCUAUCAGGGCCCUGGGUGGAGCUGACUUCCAACAGUAUACAGUGGGUCUUGGUACUUCCUCCUUGGCAUUCGACAGUUGGUGUUUUUGAAGUCAGAGCCAUCCUCAGUAGGCUCCUAGGGGAUCGUAAGCGGCUUUCUCUGGGUGGAAACCUACUCCAUGCAGCCUUCAGCAAAGGAUCCUACGGCUGUUGAUCCCCUCGGAAGUGAGACAUAAUGUCCCGGAGCAGAUGCUGAUGGGGACUCACUGUUGGGCCACCUGAUUUCUGUGUUCAUCUUCCCAGGCUCCACCUUUCAGAUCCCAUCCCUGGUGUCUGCAGUUACAACUUUACUAACCAGAACUUUGUUUCCAGCUUACGCUGAAAAGCAAAGGGUGACUUAGAAUAAAAAUGUAACAAAUAGCCCCAUAGCCCAAACCUUUUCUGCCAUGAUUUACUGUACCAGAUACCUAUAAGUGUCCAGGGCAAAUUAAACACAUCAAUAAAUGGCUUUCUUGUG
rnacentral:lncRNA from 1 species